GCCUGCUUUUCCACCCGAGAUUGCUGCGCAACAUCGCAAUUAGGGUUUUCUGACAGUGUGCAUCUCAAGACCAACCCACAGCCCACAGCUCCGCGGCACUCGCGCUGAUAGGACGAGGAGGAGGAGAUGCGUUGAAUCCGCUUGUCCUUGUGAGGUUCAUGGAAUUGUGACCUUUUCCCGAAAGCUUCCAGCGACCUGGGAAGGGUGGUUGACGAUCUGCACAGAGGACUUUCGCUACUAUUUUGGAGUCGGGCCGAGGGUGGUGGUGGGGAGAUUGGAUCGAUUGGGUCGAAAUGCCAAAUUUCAAUCAUGCUAGUCGGCAUUGGGAAAGCUGCGGGGCAGAGGAGUAGGGCCAGCCUCGCACGAAGCUGGGAAGAAUCUGUGUGAUGGGCGGAAGAAUCGCGUGAAUUCUGCGGAGAAAGCUCGAUUGCUGAGUCUUCGGAGUUUUUUUAAUCUCAUCUUCACGUUAUCUUCCUCCCUGUCGCUUUUCUGGGGAUUUGUGAUUCGGGUAACUGGUUUGUGUACGUUACGAAACCCUAAAUCCCUCUUUCUGAUUCCGUUCUUUUGAUGUGUCGUCAAACUCCACUUGUUGAUCACUGUUGUUACUCUAUUCACUACCACCGAUUUACUUCAAUUUGUCUCACGGCUUCACAUGAAGCUAAGUUUGAAAGAUGUCGGAUCAUGUCGUUUGGUUGUUUUAGGAGACAAAUAAUCCUCGGACUAUGGCAUUUUUACUCAUCUACGGAUCAAAACCCCGAGAAUGGUGGAUCUUAUUGAUUCUCAUUGUAUCAAUGACAAUUAUGAACAUAGUCAAAGAAUAUUGAUAUCCAGUUAUAUUGAGACUCAAUUUUCUGCAUUUUAACUUAAGAAUUCAAAAAAAAUCUGAUAUGUAACUUUUGUGUAAAAACAAUAUGUAAAUUUUGCCAAACAAUUGGUGUGGGAGAUUAAGAAUAGAUUUAAGUAUAGAGAAUAUAUAUAUAUAUAUAUAUAGAGAGAGAGAGAGAGAGAGAGAGAGAGAGAGAUAAGGAGUUAUUAAAGCCACAUCUAAUUUUGUUAAAGUUACACCUCCCCUUGUCAUCUCAUGAUUAGUUCCAUCUAUCCUAGUCAAUGUCCUUUGAUCCAUGUCUCCAAUCUUCAAAUUUUUUUUUUUCCUAUCCCCUCCAUAUCUUGUCCAUUGUUGCCAACCUCUCAACCAAUCCUUUGUUUUCAAUCCCUCCAUCUCUUAUUCUCAACCCUCCAUCUCUAGCCUCCUAUUCUUGUAUGGAUCUUUGUUAGAGUCUUUUCAACCUCAUAUAAUCAAAACAGAUGUUGGUUGACAGAUAAA